GUAAUGCGUAGGAAGCUACCCGAUAGAGGGGGAUACCAGUUGGAAACGACUGUUAAUACCGCAUAAUGUCUACGGACCAAAGUGUGGGACCUUCGGGCCACAUGCUAUCGGAUGCGCCUACGUGGGAUUAGCUAGUUGGUGAGGUAAUGGCUCACCAAGGCGACGAUCUCUAGCUGGUUUGAGAGGAUGAUCAGCCACACUGGAACUGAGACACGGUCCAGACUCCUACGGGAGGCAGCAGUGGGGAAUAUUGGACAAUGGGCGCAAGCCUGAUCCAGCCAUGCCGCGUGUGUGAAGAAGGCCUUCGGGUUGUAAAGCACUUUCAGCGAGGAGGAAGAGUUGUGUGUUAAUAGUACACAGCUUUGACGUUACUCGCAGAAGAAGCACCGGCUAACUCUGUGCCAGCAGCCGCGGUAAUACAGAGGGUGCAAGCGUUAAUCGGAAUUACUGGGCGUAAAGCGCACGUAGGCGGUUUUUUAAGUCAGAUGUGAAAGCCCCGGGCUCAACCUGGGAAUUGCAUUUGAAACUGGAAAACUAGAGUGUGUGAGAGGGGGGUAGAAUUCCAAGUGUAGCGGUGAAAUGCGUAGAGAUUUGGAGGAAUACCAGUGGCGAAGGCGGCCCCCUGGCACAACACUGACGCUCAGGUG
rnacentral:rRNA from 1 species